AACGAACGCUGGCGGCAUGCCUAACACAUGCAAGUCGAACGGGAUCCUGGCUUCGGUCAGGUGAGAGUGGCGGACGGGUGAGUAACGCGUGGGAACCUGCCCAGUGGUGGGGGAUAACUGCGGGAAACUGCAGCUAAUACCGCAUGAGCCCGAGAGGGGAAAGAUUUAUCGCCAUUGGAGGGGCCCGCGUUCGAUUAGGUAGUUGGUGAGGUAACGGCUCACCAAGCCGACGAUCGAUAGCUGGUCUGAGAGGAUGAUCAGCCACACUGGGACUGAGAUACGGCCCAGACUCCUACGGGAGGCAGCAGUGGGGAAUAUUGGACAAUGGGGGCAACCCUGAUCCAGCAAUGCCGCGUGAGUGAUGAAGGCCUCGGUUGU
rnacentral:rRNA from 1 species